AAGUGACAAAAAAAAAAGCCAACACCUCGGACUGCUUCCUAAGACGCAGUGUCCGUGCAGCAGGAAUAGCGGCCUCUCGCGGCUGCUUCCUGGAUGUGCAUGCGAGGGCGUGAGGAGCACAACCCUCCUCAGCGGCUGACGUCACGCGGCAGCGGCUGUCAGAGGGGGCGUGGCCUUGUUCUGCUGCAGCAGAGAAAUAUGACAUGGGGAUGAGCGAAAGAGAGAGGGAGAGAGUGAGACAGCCUGAUAGGAAUGAACGGUUCGUCAGAGGUCUGGACUGGAAACCUUAGGAUGGGGAGUAAUGACUGAAAACAGAACGAAUCGACAAGGACAUGCACGGUAAAGUGGAGAUCGCAACUGCUGCCAUACCGGAGUGACCCUGCUCGCACUGCAAGAUGUGGAGGAGGAGCACAACAAUCUAAUGUAUAUGCUCUGGGCAACGUGACUGGAGACUUGGCUCUUUGCAUCAGGAGAGUGCCUUUUUUGAAACUAUGCUGCCUGUUACA